rnacentral:rRNA from 1 species
AUUGAACGCUGGCGGCGUGCCUAACACAUGCAAGUCGAGCGGUAACAGGUGUAGCAAUACAUGCUGACGAGCGGCGGACGGGUGAGUAACGCUUGGGAAUCUGCCUAUUAGUGGGGGACAACCCGGGGAAACUCGGGCUAAUACCGCAUACGCACUACGGUGGAAAGCCGGGGACCGCAAGGCCUGGCGCUAACAGAUGAGCCCAAGUCCGAUUAGCUAGUUGGUAGGUAAUGGCCUACCAAGGCGACGAUCGGUAGCUGGUCUGAGAGGACGACCAGCCACACUGGGACUGAGACACGGCCCAGACUCCUACGGGAGGCAGCAGUGGGGAAUAUUGGACAAUGGGCGAAAGCCUGAUCCAGCGAUGCCGCGUGUGUGAAGAAGGCCUGCGGGUU